rnacentral:rRNA from 1 species
GACGAAGGAUGCAAGCGUUGUUCGGAUUCACUGGGCGUAAAGGGUGCGUAGGUGGCAUGGCCAGUUUGAUGUGAAAGCUCAGGGCUUAACCCUGAAAUGGCAUUGAAUACUGCUGUGCUGGAGGUUUGGAGGGGGGACUGGAAUUCUUGGUGUAGCAGUGAAAUGCGUAGAUAUCAAGAGGAACACCAGUGGCGAAGGCGAGUCCCUGGACAACACCUGACACUGAGGCACGAAAGCUAGGGGAGCAAACGGG